CACUUCUAAGGAAGGCAGCAGGCGCGCAAAUUACCCAAUCCUGACUCAGGGAGGUAGUGACAAGAAAUAACAAUAAACCGGCUUAUGCCGGUUUAAUUGGAAUGAGUACAAUUUAAACAUCUUAACGAGGAACAAUUGGAGGGCAAGUCUGGUGCCAGCAGCCGCGGUAAUUCCAGCUCCAAUAGCGUAUACUAAAGUUGUUGCAGUUAAAAAGCUCGUAGUUGGAUUUCUGUGGGGACGGAGCGGCCGGCCGCACAUCGCGGUUCGAGCUAGCGCUUUCCCUACAUCCUGCCGCGAACCGUGCUACCAUUAAUUUGGUGGCGCCGGGGAUCGGCUCGAUUACUUUGAGAAAAAUAGAGCGUUCAAAGCAGGCCACAUGCCUUGAAUAAGUUAGCAUGGAAUAAUAACUAAGGACUUCGGUUCUAUUUUGUUGGUGUUCGGGACUGAAGUAAUGAUUGAUAGGGACAGUUGGGGCGGUCUGUAUUCCAAAGCGAGAGGUGAAAUUCUUAGACCUUCGGAAGACAAACAGCUGCGAAAGCGUUCCGCAAGGAUGUUCCCUUUGAUCAAGAACGAAAGUUGGGGGAUCGAAGACGAUCAGAUACCGUCGUAGUCUCAACUAUAAACUAUACCAGCUAGGGAUCGGCCAACGUUAUUUUAUACCGACUUGGUCGGCACCUUAUGAGAAAUCAAAGCAUCUGGGUUCCGGGGGGAGUAUGGUCGCAAGGCUGAAACUUAAAGGAAUUGACGGAAGGGCACCACCAGCCGUGGAGCCUGUGGCUUAAUUUGACUCAACACGGGAAAACUUACCAGGUCCAGACAUAGUAAGGAUUGACAGAUUGAUAGCUCUUUCUUGAUUCUGUGGGUGGUGGUGCAUGGCCGUUCUUAGUUGGUGGAGUGAUUUGUCUGGUUAAUUCCGUUAACGAACGAGACCCCAGCCUGCUAAAUAGCGCGUGUGAGCUUUGCUCGCAGCGAGCUUCUUAGAGGGACUAUGAUGCGCGAUAGCACAUGGAAGUUUGGGGCAAUAACAGGUCUGUGAUGCCCUUAGAUGUUCUGGGCCGCACACGGGCUACACUGGCGCCUGCAACGAGCAUAUCAGCUGGCCCGAGAGGGUCUUGGCUAAUCUUUUGAACCGGCGCCGUGCUUGGGAUUGACCUUUGCAAUUGUUGGUCAUGCAACGAGGAAUGCCUUGUAAACGCGAGUCAUCAGCUCGCAUUGAAUACGUCCCUGCCCUUUGUACACACCGCCCGUCGCUCCUACCGAUGAAUGUUCCGAUGAAAUUUUCGGAGAGCACCUAUGAACUUGGCUCUGCCUUGCGAACGGGAGGCUCAAAGUCACUUAAAUCUGAACAUUUCGAGG
rnacentral:rRNA from 1 species